rnacentral:rRNA from 1 species
CCUACGGGAGGCUGCAGUCGAGAAUCUUCCACAAUGGGCGCAAGCCUGAUGGAGCGACGCCGCGUGAAGGACGAAGUCCUUAGGGACGUAAACUUCUUUUAUGAGGGAGGAAAUUUUGACGUUACCUCAUGAAUAAGGGGCUCCCAACUCUGUGCCAGCAGGAGCGGUAAUACAGAGGCCCCGAGCAUUAUCCGGAUUUACUGGGCGUAAAGGGUGUGUAGGUGGCAUAGUUAGUCUCUCGUCAAAUCUCAGGGCUUAACCCUGGAAUCGCGAGGGAAACGGCUACGCUCGAGGAUAGGAGAGGUAGAGGGAACUCAAGGUGUAGGGGUGAAAUCCGUUGAUAUCUUGGGGAACACCAAAAGCGAAGGCACUCUACUGGCCUAUUCCUGACACUGAAACACGAAAGCGUGGGUAGCGAACGGGAUUAGAUACCCGAGUAGUC